rnacentral:rRNA from 1 species
GGCGAACGCUGGCGGCGUGCUUAACACAUGCAAGUCGAACGGAAAGGCCCUGCUUUUGUGGGGUGCUCGAGUGGCGAACGGGUGAGUAACACGAGAGUAACCUGCCCUUGUCUUUGGGGUAACUUCAGGAAACUGGGGCUAAUACCGGAUCGGAUCUCCUGUUGGAUGGUGGGGGUUGGAACGUCUCGGCGGUUGGGGAUGGACUCGCGGCUUUUCAGCUUGUUGGUGGGGUAGUGGCUUACCAAGGCUUUGACGGGUAGCCGGCCUGAGAGGGUGACCGGCCACAUUGGGACUGAGAUACGGCCCAGACUCCUACGGGAGGCAGCAGUGGGGAAUAUUGCACAAUGGGCGGAAGCCUGAUGCAGCAACGCCGCGUGCGGGAUGACGGCCUUCGGGUUGUAAACCGCUUUCGCCUGUGACGAAGCGUGAGUGACGGUAAUGGGUAAAGAAGCACCGGCUAACUACGUG